rnacentral:rRNA from 1 species
AGCAUAUCAAUAAGCGGAGGAAAAGAAGCCAACAGGGAUUGCCCUAGUAACGGCGAGUGAAGCGGCAACAGCUCAAAUUUGAAAUCUGGCGCAAGCCCGAGUUGUAAUUUGUAGAGGAUGCUUCUAGGUAGCGACCGGUCUAAGUUCCUUGGAACAGGACGUCAUAGAGGGUGAGAAUCCCGUAUGUGACUGGCCCGCACCUUCUACGUAGCUCCUUCGACGAGUCGAGUUGUUUGGGAAUGCAGCUCUAAAUGGGAGGUAAAUUUCUUCUAAAGCUAAAUACCGGCCAGAGACCGAUAGCGCACAAGUAGAGUGAUCGAAAGAUGAAAAGCACUUUGGAAAGAGAGUUAAAAAGCACGUGAAAUUGUUGAAAGGGAAGCGCUCACAACCAGACUUCUAGGCAGUGUUCCGCCGGUCUUUUGACCGGUCUACUCUCUGUCUCGAGGCCAACAUCAUCUGGGACCGCUGGAUAAGACCUUAGGAAUGUAGCUCCCCUCGGGGAGUGUUAUAGCCUCUGGUGAUGCAGCGAGUCUCGGGUGAGGUCCGCGCUUCGGCAAGGAUGUUGGCGUAAUGGUUGUCAGCGGCCCGUCUUGAAACACGGACCAAGGAGUCUAACAUCUAUGCGAGUGUUCGGGUGUCAAACCCCUACGCGUAAUGAAAGUGAACGGAGGUGGGAAGCGUAAGCUGCACCAUCGACCGAUCCUGAUGUCCUCGGAUGGAUUUGAGUAAGAGCAUAGCUGUUGGGACCCGAAAGAUGGUGAACUAUGCCUGAAUAGGGUGAAGCCAGAGGAAACUCUGGUGGAGGCUCGCAGCGGUUCUGACGUGCAAAUCGAUCGUCAAAUUUGGGUAUAGGGGCGAAAGACUAAUCGAACCAUCUAAUAGCUGGUUCUGCAGA